rnacentral:lncRNA from 1 species
GAUUUAGAGUUAAGGGGUGGGGUUUAGGAUUUAGGGUUUAGAGGUGGAGUUUAGGGUUUAGGGUUUAGAGUUAAGGGGUGGAGUUUAGGAUUUAGGGUUUAGAGUUUAGAAUUUAGGGUUUAGAGUUUAGGGGUGGGAUUUAGAGUUUAGGGUUUAGAGUUAAGGGGUGGAGUUUAGGAUUUAGGGUUUAGGGUUUAGGAUUUAGGGUUUAGAGUUUAGGGUUUAGAGUUUAGGUUUUAGAGUUUACGUUUUAGGAUUUAGAAUUGGGAAGUGGGGUUUUGGGAUAAGAUUUCAAAUUUUGAAAAAUAAAAAAAUUUAAAUUUUUCAAAAGAUAAAAUGCUAUUUUGGUCAUUUUAGUUCAUGAAAACUAUUUUUGUGACAUAAAUUUAGAAAUGUGUUAUUUCGGAGAUUUGUCCAAAUAUCUUUCACACACAGUUUCGAUCAGUGUGAAAUUCUAAAGUUUCUUCUGGAUAAUAAUUGAUUAACAUUUUUCAUCAGCCUUCUGUGACUAUUCGUCAAUAAAACUGUUCAUUUUUAUUUUUUUAUGAGAAGUAUAAACAUGUUUGUUUUUUUUUUUUUUUUUUUUUGUCUUUAUGUAAGUCAAAACUAUUAACGAACUCCAUGAUGUUUGACUGAACAAAUACAAAGAAAAAUAGAUUUCUACAACUGGGUCUUGACAGUAAAAUAUGACAUUUCCAUAAACGGACAUAAAUAAAUACAUAACCAUGAGUAUUAACCUCUAUAAAAAUACUGUUGAUUGACCGUCAUCAAUACAUAUGAAACGAAUCUUUUUACUAACACCGUCUUCUUCUUCGUUUAUGACUGUUUAUUAAUUUCCUAUUAUUAUUUAAAUAUUUUUAAUUUUUGGGGUUAAAAAAAACAUGAUUUAUCGAUUCCUCCACAGCUCCACAUCUUACACAACAUAUAUCUCCUUUAAUCCCCCUUGCUUGUAAAUUCUUCCGCACUGCAAUGCAUCCUGUCAUUAAUUGCCAUAGAAAAUGUUUUAAUUUCGGUGGGCACCGUAUUUUCCAGCAGUGAGCCUUUAAAACAUCCACUGUAGGACCAAUCAGUAACGGUGGUCUAUCUCUAUCUGGGUAGAUACGUUCUACCUGAUAUCCUGAUUUAACCGAAAAUUUUCCAUUUUUUGUAAAGUGCCAUCCAUCUCUAUCUACCCGUUGAGUCCUGCCCAGUGGUAUACUUUCUAUAAGUUUUGCAUCCUGAGGAUCCACCAACGCACGAAUUACCUCUAAAUUCCAAGUACGCGAUGUAGAAUCAAUGAGGGAUUCUACAGUAAGUUCCGGAUAUAAAUUGUGUUGAUUUUUAUUAGCUGGUCUCGGGCGAGUGGUUGGGGGCAAAUGGGAAGACAACUUAUUAAAUGUUGCUUUAAAUUUUAUUGGACCACAUAAUUUGGUGGCCAAUUGUACUCCACGCAUAAUUUUCUUGGCUACUCUUUUCUUUUCUCUUUUUCUCCACAAAUAAUGGAAAAACAAAAGUUGCUUCAUCAGUCAACGUAAAAGUUGCUUCAUCAGGCAACUUAUAAAAGUUUUAUUUUAAAAACAUAAGAGCAUGAUUCACGGAGAUUCUUAUGGUGGAGUUAUUAGCGGAAUAUAAAAAAUUGUCUCUUAGUUUUUAACUAAAAAAAUAAAGAAUUAAUUCUUAAAUAGAGACUCGUUCAUAGAUAGUUCUCAAUAUCAAGGAAACUUAAAAUAGUUAUCAAAAAUAAAUAGUUCUCAACAUCAAAGCAGCUACACUCACGUAGCGAAACUUUAUGAUCAAUAUAUAGAAGUACGAUAUGUAAGAUGUCAUAAUUAUGCACAUGCAAGAAUGACUCAUCUUAUAUAUUAAAACAAAAGUCACAAUUUCGAUUCAUGCGUGAUUUUUUUUAAAAAAAAGGACCUAAUGGACAUAUUCUUAGAAAGUCAUGUUACGUUUAAUCUCUAAUCUUAUCAUUUAAAUUUUGGACUUGCCAUAAAUUUUUAUUGGGCUAUCAAUAAUUAAAUUUAAACAAUAGAUGAUUCAUUGGAUUUAUAUAUAGUAUAAAUUAAAUAUAUCUAAUUUAAUGUUGUAAUACUAUACCUCCAUAUGUUAAUUAUUUAAAUACUAGGUAGUGACCCGUGCUCUGCACGGGAUGAGAUGGUUAUUAAAAUGUGUAAAUUACAUGAUUUAGAUUAUGUAUAUCAUAAUGCAUUUGGAUGUAUUACCAUAUUUCAGAAUAAUUAAGAGGUUGAUUGUUCACCGUUUUUUAAAUAGUUUAUGGUUUUUUAUUUUAUAAAAGCUAUUUUUUUUACCAAUAGAGAUUUUUUUCAAAAUAGAUUCUCCCGAAUUUAGAGAAUCCCAUUUAAAAUAACAAUCUACUUCUUAACAAAAACUAAAAACUAUGUUUUCUUGGUUUUCUUUGGCAAUAGUACGCAGACUUUUCUUUGAUAAAAAAAGUACGUGACUUUUCUAAAAUUUAUGAAAGAACAAACUCGAUAUCUAUUAGAGACAACUACAUUUUCUGGUUCUUCUAAACAUAGCUAUUGCCAGAACACUCAUUUUCAAUUAAUUCAACACCCCUUACGCUAACCAAAACUACAUAGACAUCUUACCCAAAUUACCAAAACAUUUCAACAUCAGUAGAUUAAUAAAACAUAAUAACACAUUUUCACUGAAUCAUGUUCGUAUUUCGCUUUAUGUAUAGAAACAUAAAACACUCCCUUAACAUACCAGUUGGCCCGAUCGGUUUUCUUAGUGAUGUGAUUUUAGGAUGUUGGUUCUUUUUUGCUUGAGAUAGUUGUGAUUUCUGUCGUAUAUAUAUAGUACUAAGCGGACAAAGAUUUGCGUUAUAUUAGCCAAUAUACGCAAUUUUAAUUUAGGAGGGUUUUCGGUAAUCAUUUGAUAAUUAGACAUAACAAAUUAGGAAACUAUAUGGGGUUUGUUUUCAAUACAUUGCCAAAAUUUUGUUUGCAACUAAUAAUAUCCCGUUUAUUAAGAGAAUCGAUGCUAUAUUUCUCUUAUAAUUUGAAUCAAUUUGAAAUCUCAGUCAAUAUACCAUGUAAUUACAUAUUACCUUCUGAUUGUCCAUAUUCACGCAAUUGAAGUUAUGGAAACUCGACGCUAAUGUCGUAUUUCUUGGUGCGUACACUACGUUGAAGGCAAUUAUUAAGAAAAUUGGCAUUUUAGGAAAUCAUUAGUGGGUUUCAUUUUUUAUAUUGCAUUGUGUCUUUUUAUUCUUUUAAACAAUCCUUUAUGUAGCAUCGUUUAGAAUAAUCUUGAAAUGUGAACAAUGUGUUCAUAUAUUUGAAAAUGGUUCGUUCGAAUGCAAAGCACCAUUUUAAUAAAAAUGUGUUAAUUUUUCCUCUAAUAUGCAAAAUCAUAAAUAUGAAUAUAAUAAGUGUAUGUUUCCAAACCAUUUGAAACUGGAUGUGUCUUUUGUAUCAAUAAAAGAGAAGUCUAGAUUUUUCUAACACAAUAGUACGACAACCUCACUUUAAUAUUCUUUUUAUUGUAUUUGACAGGUUAUAAAUGACGUAUUCUAUAAUAGGCUUCCGAAUGCAAAUCAUAUUUAUAUGAAUAUGAAUGCUUUAAAUAUAGGUUGUACCAAUUUCACUAAUUGUAAUUAUUCUAGUUAAGAAAGGAUAGUUAGGCAAGUAGGUUGAGGUUGAUUGAGAGAGUGACCCAUCAUCAUAAAGGCAGUGGUGUAAAUAAAGUAUCAAAUUAAGGUUAGUUUUUCAAAUUGCUUCCCUAUUAAUAAGUAAGGGAUAUACUGAAAAAUAUAUUUUGAGAUUGAACAUAUAUAUGCGCGCGCGCGCGCACAUAUAUAUAUAUAUAUAUAUAUAUAAACAUGAAAUGAGAUUGUAAAAUGAAAUUUUUUUUUAAACUAUAUAUUUUUUUUUAAAAAUCAAACAAAACUAAAUGUUUAAUUAUUUACUCGAUAAUAGAAAUCUAUGAAGCGAAAAGUUUAAUUUUUAAAAAAAAUUUUAAAUUUGUAAAAUGUUACAAUAUUUUUGAAUAUGACAAUAAAACAAUAUUUUACUAAUCUUUAUAUAUAUAGUUACGAUUUUAAUAAUGAAAAAAUAAUCCAAAAAUAUAUAUAUAUAGAAGAAGAUACAAAUACAUGUAAAAGUUUGAAGCAAUCUAUUCAAUGAAGAAAAUAUACCGUAAACUUAUUAUGUUUUAAAAAUUGAUAGACACAUAUAUAUUAUAAUAUAUACCAAUUUAGAAUUGAAAACAAAAUGUUUAUAUAAAAAUAAAUGAAAACAAAAACUCGCGGCUGCGCGGAUCGAGAUCUAGUUUGCAUUAAAAAGAAAAGGAAAACAGAAGGAAUAGUGAGUUCCUGGUAUAAUUAUUUUUAGCCGCACAAUUUAAGUACUUAGAGCAUUUUAAUCCAUACCAAAAUUUCUAUAAUUUCCAAACGAAGAAUAAUAAUAUUUUGAUAUAAAUUAAAUAUAUAAUUAAACUUUACUUUUGACAUAAGAAUCGAACUAAUAGAAAUUGUCAAUUGUUUUAUGGUGUCAUGUGAGUUUUUAAGAUUAAGUUCUCACCAAAGAAUUUCCUCUCACUCUUUUUUUGUUUUUUUUUUUCCUUUUUAGUGUUGAACAACUCUUUGAAGAUCCUUUAAAAUAAAUGUUAAUACAAUUUAUAAAAGAACAAUAUAAUUUAUUCAUAUAUGUAGAUUUUACAUAAUUUGAUCAUUUAAUGGAAGAAGGAAGGAAAAUUGCCAAAAAUACUAUUUUCAAAGUACCAAUUUUUAUAUUUACACUAAUCAAUUUUACUUUCAUCUUUAAUGAAAGACUAGGUGACCAGUCCGCACCCUGUGCGGGCAUAAGAAAAUUCAAAAUAUGGACUAAAUCUUAUAUGAUUUUAUAAGUAACGGAUUUUAUACUAUGUUAACAACCGUCUUUGGGAGAAUUCAUCAGGCGUGGAAAAAAGAUCGCACACCAAUUUGAGAUGGACGAGAGGAAACAAAGUAACUUCAAUAUGAAGAGGCAGAUAUUGUGUGUACCGUGUACGUAUAAUUGCAACGUCCAUAUUUUCUUUGUAUGUUUACGAAGAAACUUUCAUUCAAAAUAUGGAAUAAAUAUUGCAUAGUUUUAGAAAAUUCAGAUUUUAUAUUAUCAUUAAUUAGAAAUGUAUUGUAUAUCUGUCGUUAAAAUCUAUGAUGGAGAAUAAAAUAUUUUGUUUCCAUUAAUAAUAAAAUAAACUUUUGUGUAGACAUAGUAAAAGAAAAUAUAUUAAAAAAAUCGAAAAAUUAUCCAUAAAAAUAUAAAUUAUGAAGUACAAUUGUCGAAAAAUAAUGCAAAAUAAUUUAGAAACCUGCAAAAAAAUAAAUAACUAUUGUAAGUAAUUUGUCGGAUGAACAUUAUUUUACAGAUUUAUAAGUAAGAAAAUAAAAGUUAACAUGAAAUAAUAUUAAAGUAGACAUACUUUCAUCGAAAUAGUCAGAAAACGGGAUGCUCCUGAAUACAAUUAGUUCCUAACCCAUCACUACCCAUAUGGAAAAUACAAAAAGUAAAUAAUUGUAACAGACUAUAUACUUUAAAUUUCGUAUUUGAAAAGAAAGUAGAUUAAAAUUACAUACCGUGACUAUGCGAAGACACAUGAUAGGAGCACCAACCUUGAGCUUCAAGCAAUGUCUAGGCAGUCCAGCCACUUUAACACUGUUCAAAAACUCUGCAGGAUAUACGACAUUUUCUUCUAUGUCAACAUCGGAUGGGAUAAUACUGUCAGAGCUAAGGUAAACCUUCUCUUCUCCUGAAAGCAUAUGUAAAUCCGUUUGUUUAGUGAUAUGUACAAAGUUAGUUGAACAUAAGAAUAAAUGAUAAAACAUGUUACCUGGCAACUGCGAAAGCAUGUAGUCAUUUAUUUUAUCCACUUCAUCAUUUGUGGGAGUAAGAAUGGCUCGAUGUCUAUACAAAUCCUUAUCUGUUGAAGUUUGAAAAGCUUGUCCAUAAACCUCUUUUGCCAUAGUCUCAAUAGGAUCUUCUCCACUAUUUNNNNNNNNNNNNNNNNNNNNNNNNNNNNNNNNNNNNNNNNNNNNNNNNNNNNNNNNNNNNNNNNNNNNNNNNNNNNNNNNNNNNNNNNNNNNNNNNNNNNNNNNNNNNNNNNNNNNNNNNNNNNNNNNNNNNNNNNNNNNNNNNNNNNNNNNNNNNNNNNNNNNNNNNNNNNNNNNNNNNNNNNNNNNNNNNNNNNNNNNNNNNNNNNNNNNNNNNNNNNNNNNNNNNNNNNNNNNNNNNNNNNNNNNNNNNNNNNNNNNNNNNNNNNNNNNNNNNNNNNNNNNNNNNNNNNNNNNNNNNNNNNNNNNNNNNNNNNNNNNNNNNNNNNNNNNNNNNNNNNNNNNNNNNNNNNNNNNNNNNNNNNNNNNNNNNNNNNNNNNNNNNNNNNNNNNNNNNNNNNNNNNNNNNNNNNNNNNNNNNNNNNNNNNNNNNNNNNNNNNNNNNNNNNNNNNNNNNNNNNNNNNNNNNNNNNNNNNNNNNNNNNNNNNNNNNNNNNNNNNNNNNNNNNNNNNNNNNNNNNNNNNNNNNNNNNNNNNNNNNNNNNNNNNNNNNNNNNNNNNNNNNNNNNNNNNNNNNNNAAAUCUUAAACAAAACCAAAGACAAAGAUACUCAGACAAAGUUUUAAAAAAUGAAGCAAAAACAAAGCCAUAACACUAUAAAGGACAGCAACUCAUCAAAAAGAGACAGCUCACUCGCCCUUGAGUUUCUUUUGAGAGAGUUUCUUGUUAACAGAGUGUUGAUCCUCAAGGCAACUGUCGUCAUCUUGUUCGCUUUUUCUUUUGGACAAAGGAGUUGCUGUAAAACCACCAGAACCAGAGGAAAUAUCAUCUGCGGACUCCAACAUUAGUACCUGCAAGAAAAGAUUUAAUCGUAUCACUAUUAUGCUCCUAUAACAAUCAAAUUAAUCGCAGGUAUAAGCGGAAAAUUACCGGGUUAGAUUUAGGAGGCAAAUCAGCAAAUUCCUCAACCAUUUCACGGUCAUCAGUAGCCAAUCGAACAACAUACUGAGAACUCUUUCCUUUGAUGUUAUCAGCGUCAACUGAAAUCUCAAAAAGGACUCUCUUACCAAAGAGAUCGCUCACUGCUUCAGGUAAGAAGUCUUCAUCUUCAUUCUACAAUUACAUAGAUAGCGGUCGGCUAAUAUAAUUUACUGUGUUAAUUGAUGUACAAUGGAAUUUAUAAAUGUACCUCGUCAUAGAGUUCAGCAGCAGAAUGACGCACAAUUGCUUGAGCAUUAGCAUCAAACAACAGAAAAUUAGCCUCACCGCUAUCGUCCUUGACAUUGGCAAUUAAUUUGAACCUGAACAAAUCCAAAGACAAAACGUCACAGACUAUUUCAAUGACGAUCUACCUAACUGAUAUUUUUGUAUAUCUAACCCGAUCAAUACCUGGAAAUAACAUCACUGUGUUCUUUGUCACACGUAUUGCAGAAGAACAAGGGCCGGUCAUCAGCAUCAACAUUGGUUGUAGGCAUCACUUUUUUGUUGUGGUAUUUGCAACUUAGAUAUUGCCAGCCACGUUCAGUAUCAAUUGUUUCAAUGGUCCCCAGAGUAACAAAAGUGCCAACCUAUUAUUACUCAAUGAGUAUUUUUUAAAAGCACUGAUAACACAUGGAGUAUACAAAUGUGUAAAAAAUUCAAAAGCGAAGAGUGUAGUCUAUAUACCACAGAGCUAUCAAUGAUCUCUCCGAUGGUUAGCCUCUCAUUAAGAACAAAAAACCUGGCACGAAUAGAAGUAGCAGUAUCAACAGACCAUUGGCUACUAUUGUUGUUCGUAAGAGCAAGUGAAUCAUCAGGGAGACUGCCAAAUAAAAUAAUCACACUUUAUGUUAAAAUGUUUCAGUGAAAACGAUGUUCAAAAAUCAAAACAAACAUCUAUAUGUAGUGAACUUCUCCAUAGGUUUCCAUCCGGUGAACAUCGGAUACGUACCUUGCUUUGAACUCCUCAAUAAAAUCGAGUGUUGGGUUGAGCAGGAUAUGAGUUGAAUUAUACCCGCUAGAUAUGGAGUAAGCACCUACAAAGUAUAUUAAGCUUAUUAAUAUGUUAUGCUCAGUAACAUUUUACACAAACCGGAAGAAUAUUAUUUACCUUUCCACUCUUUAACAGAACAGAAUCUGAUCACACAAAUAAUCAUGGUGGACAUGUUACUCCUACUGUAAUCGUAUACUUGUUUAGCAUAACUACCCCACAGAGUACACAUCAUCUUCACAUUACUGUAUAAUAUAAACUUAAGUUAAAUACAGUUAAUAGAUGUUUUCUUAGCAAAGUAUAAAUAAGAUUAAAAAUCUUUCACUUUACUUUGGGUCACGCAACUCAACCAAGAGCCUCAUGUUGUCUUUUCCUUUUAUUAUUUUGUUUUCCAGAGACCCGAAGUUAACUAUUUGGCCAACCACAUCUACAUACCAAAAAUAAGACUCAAAUCAGAAACAGGUAGUAGUAAAGUGAAAGACUCUUUAACUGAUUAAGAAACUAACUCACCAACCAAACAGCUAUGGUCCAGAUUUCCACCAAGAAUAUCAGAGAAUAAUUGUGUAUUGUCAUAAAUUGAUUUGCAUAUGAUAUGAUUUUAACUUGCGCAAGUAAUAUAAUAAAUACGAAAACAACUUCCGCAAGUAAUUGAUUAGAAUAAUAAGGAAAGUUAGUAAUAUGCAAAUCUUGCGCAAGUAAUCUAAUUAUAUGGGCUUAAUAUCUAUCUAGUUAUCUAAUUAUAUGGGCUUAAUAUCUCAUAAUUAAGAAAACCAAAAUUGAAAAUCAGAAAACUAAAGGACCGGAUACAUAAAGGAAUGAAACCGACUGAACAAACGGAUUUGCAUAUGCUUUCAGGAGAAGAGAAGGUUUACCUUAUCUCUGACAGUAUUAUCCCAUUAAGAUCUUAAUCGUUCUGCAAUUAGCAAUGCAACAGACCAUUGGAAUUGUUUUGUAAAGCUCUAAAUCGUGCUAAUGAAACAAAAAAACAAACUUUAAAAUCACAAGAUAGUACUGUCCAAAUAUCUGUUGAAUUAUUAAGGAGAAGGUAAUCUUAUAGUCCUUCUUCAAUUACUGAAGUCGAAUGCAAGUUUGUUGUGAUAAUACUACUGUGGUCGUGGCAAUGGUCUUGUUUAAGAGAAGCAAGACCUGAACAGCAAAAAGGUUAAUCAAUCAAUUAGAUACAAAAGAUUCAAAAUGUAAAUAAGCAAAAUGUAAUCAAGGAAGAAACAUAUGUCGAUUGUUAUCAGUGUUAUCCAACAAUCUUUGUAUCAUAGCUUAAAAGUCGAAUCCAAUCAGAGAAGCAAAAAAACCUAAAAUUCCGAGAGACUCGAUAAACUUCACCUCGUCUGGUUGUCGAUGCUGUUAGCGAUGGAUAAGAUUGAGUCUUUAUGUUAUGAAGAACAAAACACAUCUUGUCGGACUGUCUUCAUCAGAUUGAAACCAUCUCCCCCUUCAAUUGACACGCGAUUGGAAAAAAAAAAGAAGAAAAAACUUCAACAUAAACGACUGCGUUUUGAAUUACGCGGAAGGGAGUGAAAAAAUAAAUCAAAAAGAAAAAUUCCAAAAAUACAACCAAAAGAAGUUCUACAUGAGUGCCACCUCAACAGAAAUCACUAAAGUGACUUCUCUUUUAAUGUACAGGGGGAUUAUUUAGUAUAUAAAGGAUUUAUGUGAGGUUAUUCAAUUACCGCAUAUUGCUAAAACUUAGUAUAUGUUUUAUCUCCUCUAGUUCACAAACCUAAUGUGGAAAUGCAUGCAACACUUCUGCUCUUAUAUUAUUUGUUAACUCAAAUCAAAUUUUUAUUUUGCUUCUGCUUAAUCUCUUUGGAUCUUACUCUUUUUCUCUAUUCUACUACAGCUUUUGUUUAUCGUACCUCACUUACCACAUGCAAGAUAAAUAUGAGUCCGAAUGGACAAAAUGGAUAUAUAUCAAAGUAUUCUGUCCGUUAUUAAAAAAAACUCUAUUAUAUUAUGCCUUUGCAUGCUUGAAGAAAUUGUAUCUAAUGGUUAAUAAAUAAUUAUUGACGAUGCAGAUUUUCAAAAAUGUGGAAAGAGCAAAAAAUCUAACACUCCUGAAAAGACUAUCAUCAAAAAUAGAAACUCCGGGAGGUUGUGAUCAAUUGGUAAGGGGAAGAGUUUGGGACGCCAACACGUUUCAAGUUUGAUACACCUGCUAUGAUAAACUAAGUCACUUUCUUUCUGGACACCUAACAUAGAUAUGAACUAUUGCUUUCGGCUCAUUCGAAUACCCGUAGAGAAUAUAUAUCCAUAGGCUGCACCUGGUCUGGGAUACCCUAAGUUAAUCAAAAAAAUGGAAUUACAUGUAAACGCAUUAUAUUUUACAAAUAACUUUUUUAUCAUAAAGAAUAAAGAAGUAUCGUGUUUUUCUGGUUUUUCCUAUUGAUAUAUUUUUGUUCUGACCCAAAUAAAAUAAAAGUCAUGAGGAUAACACCAAUAAUAUCAUUGUUUCUGGUGAAGGACUAAAUGAACAGUAAGUAUAUAUUUAUUGGUUUAUUAUGUAUAAUAAAUAAAUAAAACUAGAAUCACAUUCUUUUUUAAUAUAAAAGAUAUACUAUCUUCACAAAAUAAAAUUUAUAACUGAUAUCUUAUACUCAGUACUCUCAUGAAAUUGGGAUUUUGUGAAAUAUUUGCAUCCUAAACUAGAAGAAUUUUAAAGUAUCACGAGAUAGUAGGAUUUUAAAUCUUUUCGUUGAAUAUUAAAUUUUAAAAUUGUAUUUUUUGAUUUUUUAAUUUUAAAAUAUAUUUUCAUUUUCAAUAUUUCAGUAAUAUUUUCUUGAAUUAAAAUUUUUUUUUGAAUCUAUUUUCAAAUUUUAAAUUUUGAAAUUGUUUUCUUGAUUUUUAUUUUAUUUUCCUGAAUUUUGAAUCCCUUGUAUACGUUAAUAAGGAGAUUACAAAUUUGUAAGACUGCCUUUCCAAAAUUAAUAGUUUUCUAAUGAUGAUUGAUGCCCUAUGAAACAGCUGAAAUUAUAAAACGUCACUAUAAAACUGACUUGAUUAUACAUCAGUAACUUGUGUAAAUAUGGGAUCACAGGUUCUUGGUUGUAAUUUGAUAUAGUGUUGGUCAAGAACAAUUAUAUUAUCAGCAAAAAUGACAUACAUAUGAAAAGUUCUACUGUAACCUUUAUGAGAAUUUUUUUUUAAUGAAUGUUAAUUUUUUAUUCAUAAAAAAAACCUUUUUACAUCAAAAUGUAGACCUGAACGAAAAAACCUUCUCUUUUUACUUCUUCACUUCUAAUGAAAACUCAAGAAAUAUUUACACUCUUAUGUUAAACCAAUAUUGGAGAGCAACAUCCAUCCCCUUUGCUUCUUUCAAUAUCUCAUUAGGCUUAACUUGUUUCCGACCCCUUUGCAAUAAGCUGCUUCACUACAUCCAUGGGCAAAGGUUUUUCGCACUACAAGAAAACGUCUCAUAUAUAGCAUGAGGAAAACACUAUUGCAAGAUAGCGCAGCGUUAUGGCGAACGUUGUAUCUUCCCUCGCAAUCUUUUCCCGGGCACUUCAGAUAACGUUUAGUUUGUGCUAUGUUAAAGUAUUAGUUUGAUGGCGUUUUAUUAAUUGUGCAAUUGUAUUAACUUCUAAUAGCAUAUAAUAAUUGUUAUUAUAGCAUUAUUAAAAAAAUUAUAUAUUCAAAUAAAAUUUUUUAAAAUUUUUAUAUAUCGAAAUUGGUUACAUGAAUAUUUAUGACGGGUAUAUCAAACUAAACCAAUUUUUUUUCAAAAAUAUUAAACUUACACCUAAAAUUCUAUACCUAAAGUUCUAUCUUCUAGCGCCGCACCACACCACGACCGACGCCGUCACAACCAGUACUCCAACGUCGCCAUCUUCCAAUCACACACAGGAGCUUGUACCUUUUCCACUCUAAACCUAAUGUUCCUGAGGCUAACGACCCACCGCUUUUGCUACCUCCUCCUCCAUCAAGCUUAUCUGCCUCUUGUCCAUCUUCAUGUAACAAGAAAAAAAAUCAAAUUCAAAACAGUGAGAGAGAGAGAGAUCAGGCACUCUUUUAGAUUUAAAAACAGGUCUCAAAUAGAAUAUACCUUCAAAGUCCUUUUCCAUGUCUUCCAGCAUCUUAUGUCUCUUAGCACACAGCUGAAACAAGAGUUACAUAAGAACAUGAAGAUACAAAAUAUUUUUAAUCAGCAUUCUUGGCAUUAAGUAGAAGCAUCAACUAGCAUCCAUAUCAACGUAACAAACCACAAAAGGUUAAUACUUACAAGCCCUUUGGGUGUAAAGUUGGACCAACAAGAAGAGCAUUCUCUGUCACACCCUUUUGGGUACUCUUAGAACCUUCAGGACAUGCAGAACUCAUCGAGCAAUUUUUAAUAAAAAUUCAAAUAAGAGAAUAAACUAGUUUUGUUCAUCUUUCAUCAACUUAAGCAAAACAGGUGAUAUUAACACAAUACAUGGGAGUGCAAGAGCAUUUGAGGUUCUUGUCUGCUCAUUGCUACGGUCAGGUUUUGACGUGGUGGCUAACUCACAGAAUCCACACCUCCAAAAGCAACUUUCACCUGCACAAGAAAACAUCUGAGAAUCAAUCCUAAGUUUCUUGGAAGCCUUGCACAAACUAGAAAGCCAACACAAAGAAAUACACUUGAACAACAUUUUGAAGCUCUAACAAUAGUCCCCUCCCACAACUAAAGAUCCGUGGGAUUGUAUAUCACCAAUGACUGAAUCACUGUUCUAAAAAAAUUAAAACUUUGUUUGGUCUAAACCAUAUAUGUGGCUCGUUCCAAGCCUCUUCGUAGGAAGGAGAUUGCAUCCAAGAUGGGUUUGGGAUGUGGAUUUCAUCUGUUCUUUGAAGAGGAAGCACCAGACCUCCAUAAAGAUACAAACUCUAAGGACCUUUUUUUCAGAUCUGUUGUUUAGUGAAAUUGAAGAGAGAGAGAGAGAGAGAGAUAGAGAGAGAGAGAGAGACGAGUGUUGGUUUUGGAUUCGGCUGCAGAGGAGAGAGGAGCGUUCUCAGGAGAAGUACGGAUUCCGGAAGAACAAAGUCACGAGGAGUAGAGACAGGUCGACGGCGACGAACUCAGACGGUGACGAAGGCGACGAACUCAGGCCGGUCUCUGUCUUCUUCCCUUGCAAUCUCUCAUAUCUCUCUGUCGUCGUGUUUAGAAGUCAAAAGGAGAGGACAAAUUAAAACACAAUCUCCACCUUUGGAUUAAAAACAAUUAAGGAUAGAGAUUGCAAUCCUUGUGUAUUACUUUCAACCAAUAAAAAAUUUUCUUUCUUUUAUAUGUAAAUAUUUAAAGAAUAAAAUGAGAGGGAAAAUGAAAUAAAGGUAAGAGGGAAAACCAAUCAUUUUUUCGCCUCAGUAAAGAUAGCGUUUUAAUGUACAAUGAUAUUAUAUAUGCGAUUUUUUGUAACAUCGAGGUAACAAAACGCUAUCUUAAAUUAUGAGUUAUGUCAAAGAUAACAUUCUCGACCAAAACGCUAUCUUCUUAUGCUAUCUUUACCUCCUCCCCUUGUAGUGUCGCCAUGCUUGAUCUGAUUUCUUUCUCUCCAUAUGUUACUAAUAAAGGAUUUUUUCUAUAUGUUACAUUUACGUACUGACUAUUGAGUAUGACUUAUAGUUAUGUUCUUAGUUCUUACUCUUAAAAAGGUAUGUACCACGGAGUAUGUAUAUAAAUUAUCUAUUAAGUUACUAAUAACAGUUAGAGGGGAUAUAGGUGAAGAAUUUGUUAGUUUAAUAUUUUGAAAAAAAUUAUAACACGCCACCACAUAACUCACUUGAUUCGUUUGUGUAAAAUUAGGCAUCAGCAGUAACUUGUGUAAAUGCAUCAGACUUUUGGUAUCAGCGGUAAUGCUGUACGUUGCAAACGCAUCAGACUUUUUCAGUGUUGAUUAUAAGUUCUUGGAAUUAAUUGACUUUGAUUUAGGCUUGUUGUCCAUUGCAGAUUAUAAUUUACUAGUGUUAUUUUUAGUUUUAUUGUUUAAUAAUUGUUUAUAAAUCAAUGUAAUUUGUUUUUUUUGUCAAACAUUUGUUCUCACAUUCAAAUAUAUGUUUUCACAUUUUUUAUCUUAGUUAUUGUAAUUCAUUAGUGUGUUUAUUUGAUUAACAUAAGCACAAUCUCACUAUUUUAUUAGAUUGACCAUUUUUGCAAUAGGGACGUUAAAAUGAUGAGAAUUAUAUGUAUUUUCUUAAAGUAUUUUACAUUUGAUUUAUACUGCCUUUAUAUAGUUUUUUAUUGUGUUUUAUUUGUAAGGAUAUUAGUGAUAUAUGAGUUUUGAUUUAGAAGUUGUCUUAGUUCAUUAAAAACUCAAAGUGGAUAGAUUUUAAAAUAUUUUUUUGGAUUCAAUAAAUUUAUAGUUGUGCUUUAUAUCACAACUAUUUGUGAUUAUUUGAAAAAAAAUCUACGUGUACAAUUUUUUUUUAAAAAAAAUUUACAACUAUUUUUGCAAUUUAGUUUUAAUUAUGUAUUAUUUUUUGUGAUUUUCAAGAAAUUUAUUAUUGAUUUUUCUUAACUUGGGUUUUAUGACCAUUAAAAGGAGAAAAAUCCAUGAGAUACAUUACUUAAUAAAUGGAUUACUCUACUUUUUUGUUUUUAUGAAAUAUAUUUUAUUUUUUCUUAAAAUUUAUGUAUUUUAAAUUAUAUUAUGUACUUUUGCUAUUUUUAUUGUUUUAUUUUAAUAUAAUUUUAUAUUUUAUCUUCUUGUCUAAAUAUUUGUUUUGAUUAUGUAAUAAUCAUUGAUUGUGCUUCAAUUACUUUGUUUCUUAUUAAUUUCUCAGAGCUACAGCUUUGUUACUAAAAUUGAAAAGUAUAUAUUCAUUGAGUUUGUGUGAGUUGAGUUGAGGUGGUGUACAUGAAUACCUAUGUGUUAAUGUGUUUUUAAAAAUAUAUGUUAUGAUAAAGUGUGUUGUGGACAACUAACCGGUGGGUCGUGUGAUUUAUGUUUUGCGAUAUUUAGUUUUAUUUUGUCAGAAAAAGGUUUAUGUUGGGAAUGAUUUAAAAUUUCAUGUUUAUGGGCCGCCUAUUUCAUAGACUUUAGUCUUCGUAGCACGGUAUAUGCGUUGAUGUACCUGUUUUUGUAUUUUGUUACAGACGUUGUGUGAGUGUUGCUUGACGAUCCUCUCAUAGCUUGAGCUUUGAGUACACCAGACGGUUUCGUGUUACGAUCACGGAUCACAAAUGGUGGAGGUUUCUUCUUAGCCAUUUAGAAAAGAAUUAAGUUGUUCCAAGCCAGAAACUGGGCUGAUCCUACGCUUUGUGAAAACCUUUUGACUUGAGGGAAUUCAUCUGUUUGUUGUGUGAGGAUUAGGUUUCUUGGCUUUACUGUCACCGAUGGAUUUAAUUUUAUUAAUAAUUAGUAACGUUUUAGGUAAUUAUUUAUUGGUGGGGCUAUGAGUCAAUAUGUCGGCUGCUCUGCCUCAAGACUUUAAAUUUUCAUAGACUUGCAUAAGAAACAAACCCAAUAAGCUGCGUUUACAUUUAGUUACCACAUAUAAAUGAGAUUCAAACAACGUUACGUAUUAUCGAAGUUUAUCGCUGCAUAUUAAAAAUAGUUCCUGAAGGAGGUUCAUAGGUUAUUUUGCUGGGAAGAUGCAUAAUCAUGAAAUUAAAGCAACAUAACCCAAAUAUGUGAAGUAUUCUAACUUAUUGUCUUUGAGAAAUAUAUUUAAAACCUAUUGCAACACAGACGUAAUCAUGUCCUUUAAAUUAACCUCAGGGUUGUUAUCCUCACCCUGUCAAUGUGUAUCAGUUAUCAGUAAACAUUAACGAAGUCAAGUUGUAAAAAAAUUAAACGUCACUCACCUGAAGCUCAAAAAUGAGGCUGUGGUCGUUGGUUGGUGUAAAAAAUGUGGGAAACAGUGAAGGUCUGAUGUUUUGCAGAGAAGUUGAUUCAGAUAGCUUCAAUUGAAAGGUUAAAGUGGUCCCAUAAUUCUCAUCUAUGCAUUAUGGCAGGACCCAAUCGAUGCUGAAUCAAUAUUGCAUGAGAAGAAAACGCUUUAAUCAGAGAAGUUUAUGCUCAAAACCCAAGGAUUGACAGACAAACAUAAUCUUAGCUAAAUACCUUGGAAUCAAGCAGCAGCAUAUCGGCCUGCUGUUAAGUCGCCAUGUCGAUAAGAUCGUGUGAGAGUAAUAGUGAAGCGGAAGAGGAAUCGGGAGGAAUUAGAGGAUUCGAAGAGAAGACUACGAAGGGUUUAUAUAUACUCUGCAAAAGGAUGUAAACAACGUAUUAAAUAUACAAUUAAUAGGAGAUAGUGGGGGGGGAUAGGGGUUUGAUGAUUGAAAGCAAUAACGGCUGAGGGUUAAGUCGGAGAGGUAACGAAAAGGAAAGCAUUAGGUUACAGGCUCGUGAAUAAGAUUAAGACGCAGGUGUGAGAGUGCUGACGUGGCGCAAAAUGCCCCUCUUUCCAUGAUGAUGUGGCGCAAGGAAAGAUAUAUGUUUUAUAUAUAUAGAUAGAUAGAUAGAUUGGUUGUAGUGGUUUCUAGCAUGAUUAACCCAAAAACCCACUUUGGGUCUCUUAAUGAUUUUUAAAUAUUAAAGUUUACUUAAGAGACCUAGUUAAGAUACACCUACAUUUUUGUGUUUCAACGGGAGUUUCUUAGAGCAUCAUUAACCCAAAGACCCCUUUAGGGUCUCUUAUUUACUUUUUAAGAGCAUGAUUAUUGGGAAGUUUUUAAGGUGGGGUUUUUAUCGGAAUAUAAGAACCCGUCUCUUAACUUUUAACUAAAAAAGUUAAGAAUCGGCUCUUAAAUAAGAGUUUUAAGAAUCGGUUCUUAACUUUUUUAGUUAAAAGUUAAGAGACGGAUUCUUAUAUUUCGCUAAGAACCCCACUCUAAGAACCCCCAAUAAUCAUGCUCUAAGUAGUAAAUGUGAGUUGAGAGAUUUAGUUAAGAAAUUUUAAUACUUAUAUGCUUCAAUGCUAGUUUCUUAACUAAGGGUUCUUGAAAAAAAAAUUCCAACGUUCUCAUCUUUACAUCUUCUUUGAUCUCCAACCAUGGAUUCAAAAAAUCCAACAUAUUAUCCAAACUUUCAGUAUCUUCACCCAUCUCCUUCAUCGCGUAUACAAUACUCUCUAUUGUCGACAAACACCUCUUUGUUGGCACCAAGUGCUUGAUUUCAGCUUCGAUCUUUCCCUGGAAAAUGCCUUCAAAUUCAGAUUCAAUCUUUGAGUAUUCUAGUUCUUGGAUCCUGGCUUCCUUUGCAUUGAGAUCAGCUCUGGCUUCCUCGAGUUUGUGUUGGAGAUGUUUCACCUUCUGCUUCAAGAUCAGUACCAUAUUCACAGAUCCAGCAGAUCCUUCACUACUCUGCCUCCACCAUAUUCACAACCUCAUGAUGAUCACGGACUUAAGAAUACAAGGAACAGCUAAUCAGAGCUUGUCAUAAUACUAAUCAAAAGCCAUGUAUGUCAUGACAUUCCUAGAAGAACCACUGUCUGAUACUAAUGUGAAUAAUACAAUCUACCAAACUUCAAUUGUAUACAAAAAGAAAAAGACUUGUCUUUUUUAGCAAUUCUAGAAGAGUCUAUGGUCGACAAUUAAAGCUUGGAAACAAAACUAAACCAUAAUUACCAUACCACGAUAAAAAUGUAUAGCCGUAAAAAAAGAAGAAGCAAAAAAGCUCCAUUCCCGUAUUAGAAGCAGCACCUCGUGGCCGGUCCAAAGCAGGUAAAGAAGCCUCCAUUGCCUCCUCAACAGCAUAAUCUCAGAUCCAUCCUCGAAUGGCUAGGGUUUCGACUUUCAACUCAAUAGAAAUAGAAAAACAAUCUCCAAAACCUUAAUCUCCUCUCCUCCUCCGAGAAAUUGAAGAAUUAUUUAUAUGCAACAGUGCAGCCGCCCAAUUAGCCGUCGCUGAAUCCUUCCGUGGCUCCGCCGCGAGAUGUAGAGCAGGGAAGAUUUUAGGUGUAGAUAGAGGAAAGGAGAAGAAGGGACAUUGCUUUACAGCUACUUCGUCGUUGCUACUUCUGCCGUGAACGACGGGAUGGCGAGGUUCACGGCGACGAUGAUUUGGCAGGAGAUAGGUGAACGAGAGGAAAAAAAAACGCUACAAAAUCUCCUGCCACGUGUUAUAUAAGAAACGGUUCUUCUGGACCUUAUUUAAGAAAGGUCCCUUAACUUAAUUGCUAUUUUUCUUUUUUUUCUAAUUCUAAUUAUACCAAGAUACCUCUUAAAAACCUUGGAUAAUUGUGCUCUUAUUUAGAGGUUCUUAUAAAAAAGAUGAAAAUCUUUUUAUUUAUUAACCUUUUGAUUCUCCAAUUCUAAACUUGAAUUAAAAGAUUUAGCAUCAGAAUGAAUGAAGAAGCUUAAAACGAAUCAAAAGAUGAAAAUCUUUUUAUUUAUUUCAAGAAUAUACCUCUACUAAUGAUAUCAUAGACACCAAAGGGAAGAAAAGACCACUAACCUCAUGCCUUUGUUACUGGAGAUGUAGCCAGAGCUUUGUCUUCACUAGAGGAUGGAACGGUUUCGUCAAGGAGAAGAGCCUCAAGGAGAAAGAUGCGAUGAUAGUCUUUACACUUGUGAUGUUCCGACGUUAGAAGGUCAAAGCAAAAACUUCUUGAUGAUCGAUGUUUAUUACUCUUCAGGCCAUGAUGAGGAAGUAAACGAGACAGUUCAUUACAGUUCCGAGGGAGGAGUAAAAACAGAGAACUUCUGUAACUCGAAGUUGGAAGAAGAACCACUAUGAUUAGUUUUGUACUUACCAGCGGUAUAAGGAUACAAAGACAUUGUUUCUUCCUAAAGACAAUGCCAGCAAUGUAUAUCCGAAAUUAUGCCAAUCUACAAGAAACGCUGCACGCCUCCAUGAACUCGCCCACUUAACAGCAAUUAGUGUUGGACUGGAAGGUGGAUUCUGCAGAAAAAGAACUCUGUAAACCUUCUGAAAAUUUCGCAAAAAGACUAAAACUUUCAAAGAUUGUACCUGAACCAAGAAAAUGUCAGGUGCUGGUACUUUGGCAAGAGGUUAAUGAACCGAAGCUGCGCCUGUUUUACAUCCCAAAAAAGAAAGAAAGAAAGAAACAGAUGAUCAUGAUACUAAAUACUUUCAAGAAGUUUAUGUCAAGGAGUUGAUGGAAGGAAGGAUACCAUGGUAUGGACGUGCAUUUAAGGAUUCUUUAAAACAGCUUCAUGAGGAAUAGAACCUAUUCAUGAGUUCCAAAAAAAUAAAAGCGUUUCAAACAAUGCAAUGCAAUCAUGGAGUCCAAAAAAACAUGAAAGAUUACACACUAAAAUGGGGAAUCCUUUUACCUCCAUAAGCAACAAUGUCAACUUGAAGUGAUGCCGAAAUAUGAAACUAUCCUUUUAGUUAUGAUGAUUGCUUUAAAAUAGAAAAGGUUUUUUAAAUGAUACAUGUAAUUUAAUUGCGGUAUGAAUUUAUUAGUUUAGAUUUGGUGGACAGAAAAUAUCUUUUUAUAAUCAAUUUUAGCAUUUUCAAUAAAUUUUGGAUAUAAAACAAAAAAAAAGUUAUUGUCAAAAAUGGUUGUAAAUACUAUGAAGAAAAACCGAGAAACAAACAACUGUAAUAAAAAUAGAAACCAAAACAUGUAAUCAGUUUAGUUAUAUCUAUUCAAACUAAACUUAGAUACUGUAUAAUUGCAUGCUUGAAUAAUAAUGAUAUAUAAUUAUAUAAUGGACGUUUUACGAAGUUGGUAUAAAAGUAGUCAACAGAAUUUUCUAAAGGUUGAAUUUGAUUCUGUUGACAUCUAAACAUCACAUCACUAAACCUAGAAAAAUUGGUUUUGAAACACGAACACAGUUGGUAUAUAAAAGUAUUUAAUUGAAUUUUGAAUAGAUAUGAUUUGACUUUUUAGACGAUACUAAACCGAGAGGUGAAUAGUUAUGAGUCAUCUAUAUUCGAUUUACAUUAUUAUUUCGGUGGUUAACUAAUUUUGUAAAGUGACGGUAUUAAAAGGCAAUAGCAUUGAACCGUUUAUUAAUGGUAAUAUAUUUCAAAUGGCCGUGUUUUAUGCAGUUGCAUAAGAUGAUAAUAUUUUAAGAAAAAUCAGGACUAAAUACUAUUUGUACUUCUGUUUUAAUAGAUUAGAUAAAUUAUUAUUAAUAAUGUUUAUGGUUGUAGAUAGAAAAUAAAGCUAAAACACUUGUCAUAACCCAACCAAUCACCUUAAUAUGCAUAUGUAUGAUUUGGAUAAGAAAUUAAAAUAUAGUUGUUUUGUAUAUUAUUUUUUUAUUUUCGUUAUAUAGGUACUUGGUUUUAAUUAUUUCUCCUUUCGUAUUAGUUUUUGCAUUUCUAAAUUUUAUAAUUUUUUAAAUUUAAUUUUUAAAUUAUAAAAGUUAGUAUAAGAUGCAUGUACAAAAUAUUAUAUACCCAUAAAUGUUUAUAUAAUUUUUUUUAUGUUCUCAUUCAAACAACGACUGGAUCCGCCAAUAUAUACCUCGCAUAAUUUGUAUAUGAAUUAAUUCUCAGUGGACUUAGACCAUCAUUAGUCAGGUUUCUGAAUUAUGAGUUUCUGAACAUUAUUUUAUUAAUAUUUUAAAAAAAAUUAUUUUAAAACUAGUUCUUCCACUUAUGGAAGCAGUUAGUUUCUCAAGUUUUCAUUGAAAGUACCUUAAGCAGCAAUCGAUUCUUGCUUUUUCAAUCCUCUCUUUCUAACUUUUCUUUGAUUUAUUAUUAUAUUAGUAAUAGAGACUAUGGUAGAUACUACCAUUGCUCAUGCUCUUAGGUUCUCUUCGUAUUUCACAUACGAUGUUAACGAUGAGGUAUACAGCUCACAUAUAAAGUGUAUUUCCAGAUAUUAAAUAAAUCGUAAGCAAUAAACUCAUAAUUCGUGUGGUCGUACUAUCGAAUGUAAUGAGAUACUUUCAAGGGCAAAUCUCUAAAAUAGCACAUUUCUAAGUUUAUAUCACAUCUAAACCCUAAACCCUAAACUCUAAACCCUAAACCCUAAACCUAAAUCCUAAACCCCACCCUUUAACUCUAAACCCUAAGUUUGUGACUUUUGAUAAAACAUUAAGUGCUAUUUUUGUGACUUUUGACCUUGAGUGCUAGUUUGGGAACAUAAACUUGAUUUAGUGCUAUUUUUGUCUUUUUCUCUACUUUCAAGCCUAAGUUACUUGGGACAUUUUUGGUAGAGAGCUCUUCUCAUAAUUUUUAACAAAAAUAUUAUUGAAAAAGCUAAAAAUAAAAGAGAAGAGAUAAAAUUAUAGAGAAUAGUCCCUUUAUAAAGAGACUUCCAAAAAUAUUUGAGAAAGUAAUUCUACAGCUGUCCUUAUUUUAGUGGUACAGCAGAAUUUUAGACAUUUAAUUUUAAUAAAAAAAGCAAAUCAUCUUAGUAUACUAACAUAAUAUUAUCUAGAAAUUAAAUUUGAAAAACUAACCAGUGCUGAUGCUCUUACCAACCCAAAACUCGCUUGUCACUAGAUCACAAUCGCGUGGUUAGACUCUUAUUAUUCUAUAAUAUAUACACAAAAUCUAUGUAUUUUUAUGCCAUGUACGUAAAAACAAAUUGUGUAAAAGAUCAUGAAAUUGUAAGAUAUUUCAAUAUAUAUGUGUGUCUAAAAUAAUUCUGUCAAAAUUCAAAGAACAAACUAAGUUUAUGAAAUGAAUAGAAAACAAUAUUAUGCGCUGUUAAAAAAAAACAUACUGAAGUCAGUGGAACUAGCUCCGAUUUAUCACUGACGAGAUUAGCUCGAAAAUUUUAAACCACGAGAACCACGUGCACGAAAGUAAUAAUGAUUUCGAUAGCUAGUAGUCGCCAAAAGUAUAUAAUACUGUUUUCCUUCGUCCAGUUAGAUGCCUUGCAAUUAUUUGUUAAUACAUUUCGGCUGAGGGAUUUCAUCAAUGUGCUCGAUCUUAUCCGAAACAUCUAUGUUUAUAUAUUGUGUGUACAUAAAAAGUAGAACCAAUUCUUUUGCCUAGUGUCUAAAUAAAUAAAAACAUUGUACGUGACAGUAAUUUUCGAGUUUAAAUACUAUAUUUUUUAAGAGAAGAUUCUAGUAUGGCUAAAAUUAUGAAAACGAUUGUAUGCUUUCCAUUGCGAAUCCGAAUUUCGCUUAGACAAGAGAAUCUCCUCGUUAGAAAACCAUUUAAGUGUGGCCUCUCUGGUCUCUGAUGGCAUAAAUACAGUACAGAUCUGUUCCACAGUGUAACGCGAUUAUAUAUUUGAUAUCUCUUGGUUAAACAAAUAUCCCGGAUCUGCUAAGAAUCGAAUUUCAUUAUUUGACAAAACCAACAGAUCCAGUUAAAAAAAAAGACAAAACCAACAGAUCAUUCAUUUAUGCCAUUACGUGCUUGAUUAACAAAUGGUUAGGAUAUUUUUAUUAGAUUAAAAAAGCUAAUUAAGAGAUUCUAAACGAAGAUUUGUACUAUUAAUACAGGUUGGCCAAUUGAUUUGAUUGUUUUUAAGUUACACGUUGUUGAAAAUAUAUGCAAUGUAUGUAAACACGUUCAAUCCAAAAAAAAAAAAAACUUCUUUUGGCGUCAUAUAUUAGAGACUAACUUGAGAGACCACGAAAUUUAAUAUAAUAAAUAUUCAUCGUUGUUUCAUUAGUUAUAAGGAAGAAACUCCGGAAGUAAAUAAAAUAAACGUUUAGUUUUGAAAAAAAAAUAAAAAUAGCAUUAAAUCAAGUUUAUGUUCCCAAACUAGUACUCAAGGUCAAAAAUCACAAAAAUAGCACUUAAUGUUUUAUCAAAAGCCACAAACUUAGGGUUUAGAGUUAAAGAGUGGGGUUUAGGAUUUAGGGUUUAGGGUUUAGGGUUUAGAGUUUAGGGUUUAAGGUUUAGAGUUUAGGGUUUAGGGUUUGGAGUUUAGGGUUUAGGGUUUAGGGUUUAGAGUUGAGAAAUGA